GCCAGGCACAGUGGCAUGUGCCUGUAGUCCCAGCUACUCGGGAGGCUGAAGAAUCGCUUGAGUCCAGGAGUUCUGGGCUGUACUGCGCUAUGCUGAUUGGGUGUCCGCACUAAGUUUGGCGUCAAUAAGGUGACCUCCUGGGAGCAGGGGACCACCAGCGUUGCCUAAAGAGGGGUGAACCCGCCCAGGUCGGAAGUAGAACAGGUCAAAAUUCCCGUGCUGAUCAGUAGUGGGAUCACGCCUCUGAAUAGCCACUGCACUCCAGCCUGGGCAACAUAGUGAGACCCCGUCUCUU
ensembl:misc_RNA Metazoa_SRP Metazoan signal recognition particle RNA